AAACGUUGAAUUCCCAAGGGUAAGACAAAGUCUUGAAUCUCAUACUUUAGUCCGUCUUGGAAACGAUGACACAGGAAUGGCUCGUCAAUCUCUUCACGGAAAAAUCUGAAAUGCCUUGAUAGUGAUUCAAACUUAGCAGCAUAUUCGCCCACGGUCAUGUUCCCCUGAUGUAGUUUCAGGAAAUCAUCACCCCGUCUAGUCCUGGUACUCAUCGGGAAGUAUUUGUCGAAAAACUUCCCUUUGAAAGAUUCCCAGUUCACCUCCUCGUGAGCUGAUCUCAUCAACAACCUUGUACUACUCCACCAGUACUCAACAUUUCCUAGUAGCAUAUAAUUGGCAUAG
rnacentral:lncRNA from 1 species